rnacentral:rRNA from 1 species
AUUGAACGCUGGCGGCAUGCUUUACACAUGCAAGUCGAACGGUAACAGGCCGCAAGGUGCUGACGAGUGGCGAACGGGUGAGUAAUGCAUCGGAACGUGCCCAGUCGUGGGGGAUAACUACUCGAAAGAGUAGCUAAUACCGCAUACGAUCUAUGGAUGAAAUCGGGGGACCGUAAGGCCUCGCGCGAUUUGAGCGGCCGAUGUCAGAUUAGGUAGUUGGUGGGGUAAAGGCUCACCAAGCCAACGAUCUGUAGCUGGUCUGAGAGGACGACCAGCCACACUGGGACUGAGACACGGCCCAGACUCCUACGGGAGGCAGCAGUGGGGAAUUUUGGACAAUGGGCGCAAGCCUGAUCCAGCAAUGCCGCGUGCAGGAAGAAGGCCUUCGGGUUGUAAACUGCUUUUGUACGGAACGAAACGGCUCUGGUUAAUACCCGGGGCUAAUGACGGUACCGUAAGAAUAAGCACCGGCUAACUACGUG